rnacentral:lncRNA from 1 species
AUCCUUUCUCUACCAAUUUGAAUCUCGAUGUAUUCGAAGCUUCAGUUGACAACGAAUCGAGAAUCCCUGACGAACAGACAGCUGCGGAACAGAAAGUCUUGUCAGGAUGCAGUUACUUGCCAAAUCCCUAAUUUUUGCCUAGAUUGCCCCAGGGUGAGGUACUCAAUCUAGCGGGAUGCAAAUAUUCUUUUUUUUAUGUCUCUAACUUU